CGCGGCUCUGCGGGACCAGACUGCGCUUCCCAGCCGGCUCCGCCGGGGAGAGCCGCGCGGAAGAGCCCCGCAGCGAGGGGCUGGGGUCGCCCGGCCCGGCCCGAGCCGCCGGCCCCGGGGAAAAGGAACAGGAACAGCUACAACAUCUGUGGACCCUACAGGAUCCGUACUAGACCAAGGUGGCCACCAAGGCAACUCCCUUCUGCCUAUGCUGGGGACCUGGCAGAGGACGAGGUGGAGGCUGCGGUGCACCAGGGGACCACAUGGACACACUGCUGGGGACAGAGCAUGGUGGCAGUGACAACCCCUUGCCACCCUGGGACCUCAGGAGCAGCGGAGAGAGCCCUUAUCCCUGAAGCACUCCCAUGGCAGAGAGCCCUAUAAAGGCCAAGGCACAGGAGGGGCUUUGUGCCCCACACCAGCUCAGACACUGCAGACCCCCACGGGUCAGUGCCCCAGUGGGACCCUCCUCUGGCACUGGAGAAAUCGGGCACCUCGGGAACGGGGUGGGGGAUACACCCAGGAGGGGGAGGUUGGCAUCACAGGCAGUCAUCAGCACUUGCUAAGGUUAAAUCGAUGGGACCACUUGCCCUGGGUGCUCGUGCUGUUCCCUGGGACCUUCUCCCAUCCCCGUCCAUCACUGGGAGCAUCACGGCGUUGGUCACCCCUGUGCUCAGGGCUGGUGGGGUGGACAGGACAGACACCCCUGCACCAGGUGAGCAUCCUGCCCCCACUGCACCCUGAUGGCAGGAGGGGGCUUGGGGCUCACCUGUCCCCUGGCAGGGGAUGACGGGCACCUGGAGUCCUACACUGACCCUGGUGGAAGCAAACCAGUCCUUCAGCCACAGUGUAUUCCCCAGGAGGGCACUACAGGGGGGUGAAAGCCUGAAUCUGUCCUUUGCAGCAUUCAACAGCAUCAUUCCCUUCUCCUGUCCCCAAAACUGGUCCAUCCACUGGCCGUGGCAGAAUCCUUCAGGAUUUUUCUGGCCAGCGCUGGGCACAGGGCAGGCCCACAGCCAGGGCGAGCUGCCACUGGCCCUGGAGCUACAACCACGCAUCAGGAGUCUGAUGUUCAAAUAUUGUUUGUUCACAGGAUACAACUCUGAACUGAGCUAGGAGAGCCGUGUCCAGGUUCCUUGGUGGCAGAUAAGCCGGACCGAGGUUGUGGCUGGGCUGGCAGCCGGUGGUUGCUUAGGAACUGCACUUGCAGCAAGCAAAUGAGCGAGGCGAAAUAACACCUAGCUGUUUGUCACUUCAAAGCAGCCUCGUUUCCCGCAGUUGUCUGUGGGGAAAAGAAUUUCAGCAGGAAAAUGCAACUGGAAGGUAGGAGCCACCCGAGACAUGGCCUGUUCAGGGUGAAGUGAUGAGGAGAGAGGCCCCCUAAAGAUGUCACAGCACUCACAAAGAUGCUCCAAUUCCAUGCAUGCUUUCUCCAGCAUGCAAGGAUGCAGCAAGCAGUUAGAGGGGAGAAAAAGCCACAGCUGGCAGGGCCAAAGUUCAAAAACGUGGGGCUGAACAAAGUGAGGAAGCUCAAGGGCAACCCAAAAAAGCAGGCAGACCCGUGGGAGGGGGGCAUGCACAAUGUUCCCAGCAGGGUCCUGAUGUCCCCAUCACGGGCAGCCAGCAGCUGGUCUGGAGCCUGUGGGUGCUGCAAGGACAGAAGUGUCCCCAGCCGCGGGACAUGUAGGGCAUGGCUCCACUGACAGCCACCCACUGCCUGCCAGCCCCGGCGGGUGCAGGAUGGUGUCUGGCUCUGCUCGCUGCCUUUCAUGCCACCGUUCUGCCAUGUCACAAAGCGCUGGUCUCAGCACCCCCCCAGUUCCAGCCCCAGAAAGGUCUCCACGGCCAUGGCAGAGCACCCGCAGUGCCCAGUCCUGUGUGAAUAACCAGGAGCCUGCCAGGAUUUUUUGACUGAUACUGGCAAUCUCAGAGGACACCUCAACUCGAGCCUCGAGGAUCUUCAAACAACAUUUAUUUUGUUAGCCCCAGAAGGUCCCACUGCAGGGACAGGCAUUUCUGACCCGAGGCUCUCCAGGACCCAACGUGGCACCAACAGCCAUGUCCGUCAAGUGUUUUCCUCCUGCUCCCGGGGCCACACAGUGCCACGGCAUGGGCACAGCAGGGUGACUGAGCUCCUCCCAGCCCACCCAUAGCAAAGGAUGAUAAUAAAGGGGCAGAAACAUUUUGAAA